rnacentral:rRNA from 1 species
CCUACGGGGGGCUGCAGUGGGGAAUAUUGGACAAUGGGGGGAACCCUGAUCCAGCCAUGCCGCGUGUGUGAAGAAGGCCCUCGGGUUGUAAAGCACUUUCAGUGAGGAAGAACGCCUGGUGGUUAAUACCCAUCAGGAAAGACAUCACUCACAGAAGAAGCACCGGCUAACUCCGUGCCAGCAGCCGCGGUAAUACGGAGGGUGCGAGCGUUAAUCGGAAUUACUGGGCGUAAAGCGCGCGUAGGUGGCUUGAUAAGCCGGUUGUGAAAGCCCCGGGCUCAACCUGGGAACGGCAUCCGGAACUGUCAAGCUAGAGUGCAGGAGAGGAAGGUAGAAUUCCCGGUGUAGCGGUGAAAUGCGUAGAGAUCGGGAGGAAUACCAGUGGCGAAGGCGGCCCUCUGGACUGACACUGACACUGAGGUGCGAAAGCGUGGGUAGCAAACAGGAUUAGAUACCCGAGUAGUC